rnacentral:rRNA from 1 species
UACGUAGGGGGCAAGCGUGGUCCGGAAUUAUUGGGCGUAAGGCGCGUGUAGGCGGCCAGAUAAGUCCGUUGUGAAAUCUCGAGGCUCAACUUCGAGCUGUCGGUGGAAACCGUCUGGCUAGAGUCCGGAAGAGGAGAGUGGAAUUCCUGGUGUAGCGGUGAAAUGCGCAGAUAUCAGGAAGAACACCCGUGGCUAAGGCGGCUCUCUAGUACGGUACUGACGCUGAGACGCGAAAGCGUGGGGAGCGAACAGG